GGUUGCGAUCAUACCAGCACUAACGCACCGGAUCCCAUCAGAACUCCGCAGUUAAGCGUGCUUGGGCGACAGUAGUACUAGGAUGGGUGACCCCCUGGGAAGUCCUCGUGUUGCAACCC
rnacentral:rRNA from 1 species